AGAGUUUGAUCCUGGCUCAGGACAAACGCUGGCGGCGUGCGUAACACAUGCAAGUCGGACGAGGGGGAGAGGCUUUUCGGAGUCUUUUUCUUGAGUGGCGGACGGGUGCGUAACACGUGGAUAACCUGCCCUGGUGUGGGGGAUACCCUGUAGAAAUACGGGCUAAUACCGCAUAUGGUCGAGUUCGGGGAGCCGAGCUU
rnacentral:rRNA from 1 species